CCCUUAGAUGUUCUGGGCCGCACGCGCGCUACACUGAUUCAUGCAACAAGUUUUGUCCUUGGCUGAUAGGCCUGGGUAAUCUUUGAACGUGAAUCGUGAUAGGGAUAGAUGAUUGCAAUUAUUCAUCUUCAACGAGGAAUUCCUAGUAAACGCAAGUCAUCAGCUUGCAUUGAUUACGUCCCUGCCCUUUGUACACACCGCCCGUCGCACCUACCGAUUGAAUGGUCCGGUGAAAUCUUCGGAUCUGAGAGAUGUCUGAUUAAUUUCGGACGCCUUUUGGAAAAGUUGCUUAAACCUUACCAUUUAGAGGAAGGUGAAGUCGUAACA
rnacentral:rRNA from 1 species